CCUAAACAGACCUCAGUCAAAUACUGUCUUCUGUCAGUGAGUGGAGAGUCAGUCUGUCGGCAUUCCAGUCCCAGGGUAGCCAAUAUCACCACACAAACCGCCACAGGAACCAGGAAAGGGUCAGACCUUGUGGAGAUAAGCAGUAAGAGGUCGAACAACCAGUGAUCACGAGGGACUACACACAGGCAGCACAAGUACAUAAUUGUGAGUGAGACUUGGGUCUGUUUGGACUGUACCCAUACCUAACCAGCCGUCAAUCAAGCAGCACCUCCUGUCAGUCGGUGGCCGGUCAGUUUUCCGUCUGUCCAGUCGGGAGUAGACAACGCCAACUUCACACCCCACAGCAGAAACCAACCGACGGUCACAUCCUCUGGGACAUUAGCAGUCGCGAGGGCGACCAACCAGCGACUACGCAGAGGCAGCGCAAAUACAUCCGAGAGGCCGAAGCUCCCAGCUGAAAGAUGGCGGAGUUCUGGCAGCAGGUCGGGCAGCUGGUCUUGAACCAGGUGAUGAACGACAUGGCGGAAUGUGCAUUCCGGAGCAUGGACUCUGACCAGGCCCGGGUGUGCAGGCUGCUCUGGAAACUCAGGACUACGGCCACCAGGAUAACUAUCACCGGGAAGCAGGUCGAAUUCUUCUUUAAACAGUUGUCUCGUUUCUUAGAAAACGACGAGCCCGACUUGGAGCAGGGACUCCAGAUGAUCGUCCAGUCGG